UCCCUGGUGGCUCAGACAGUAAAGCGUCUGUCUGCAAUGCAGGAGACCCGGGUUUGAUUGCUGGGCUGGGAA
rnacentral:tRNA from 1 species